rnacentral:rRNA from 1 species
GAUGAACGCUGGCGGCGUGCUUAACACAUGCAAGUCGAACGAAGCACUUUACUUGAUCUUUUCGGAGUGAUUGUUUUGUGACUGAGUGGCGGACGGGUGAGUAACGCGUGGGUAACCUGCCUCAUACAGGGGGAUAGCAGCUGGAAACGGCUGGUAAUACCGCAUAAGCGCACGGUAUCGCAUGAUACAGUGUGAAAAACUCCGGUGGUAUGAGAUGGACCCGCGUCUGAUUAGCUAGUUGGUGAGGUAACGGCCCACCAAGGCGACGAUCAGUAGCCGACCUGAGAGGGUGACCGGCCACAUUGGGACUGAGACACGGGCCCAGACUCCUACGGGAGGCAGCAGUGGGGAAUAUUGCACAAUGGAGGAAACUCUGAUGCAGCGACGCCGCGUGAGUGAAGAAGUAGUUCGCUAAUGUAAAAGCUCUAUCAGCAGGGAAGAUAGUGACGGUACCUGACUAAGAGCUCCGGCUAAAAU